UCAAGCUACAAAGAGCUUACGGAGAAUGCCUUGGUACAUGGCGCCGAAGAAGGACGUGACAAGCUGCGAAAAGCUGCGGGGAGGAGCAAAUAUCCUGUGAUCCGCAGAUAUCCGAAUGAGGGAACUCUGCACAAGUAAUAUUGUGUAAUCCGUUACUGAAUCCAUAGGUAACGGAGGGGAACCCGGGGAACUGAAACAUCUAAGUACCCGGAGGAAAAGAAAAUAACAAUGAUUCCGAAAGUAGUGGCGAGCGAAAUCGGAGAAGCCCAAACCUUAGGUAGUAAUACUUAAGGGGUAAGGACCGCGAGAUAGCAUCGGGAAAGGUAGUUGAAUUAUCUGGAAAGGUAAGACAAAGAGGGUGAAAUCCCCGUAAACGAAAUCUUAAACGAGCGAGCGUAAUCCGGAGUACGUCGGGACACGAGAAAUCCUGACGGAAGAAAUGGGGACCAUCCCAAAAGGCUAAAUACGACCAUGUGACCGAUAGCGAAUAGUACCGUGAGGGAAAGGUGAAAAGAACCCCGGGAGGGGAGUGAAAUAGAACCUGAAACCGUAAGCUUACAAGCAGACAGAGCACAUUUUAGGUGUGAUGUCGUACUUUUUGUAGAACGGGCCGGCGAGUUACGAUGUGAUGCGAGGUUAAGUGUUAAAGACACGGAGCCGAAGCGAAAGCGAAUCUGAAAAGGGUGCAAAGUAUCAUGUCGUAGACCCGAAACCGAAUGACCUAACCAUGAGCAGGUUGAAGCAAUGGUAAAACGUUGUGGAGGACCGAACACACGCCUGUUGAAAUAGUCGGUGAUGACUUGUGGUUAGCGGAGAAAUUCCAAACGAAUUCGGAUAUAGCUGGUUCUCCUCGAAAUAGCUUUAGGGCUAGCCUCGUAUAUGAUCCUUGUCGGUAGAGCACUAACUGGCCUAGGGGGCUUCACAGCCUACCGAAGCUUAUUAAACUCCGAAUGGCAAGGAAUCGAGUACGGGAGUCAGACAGCGACAGCUAAGUGCCGUUGUCAAAAGGGAAACAGCCCAGAUCUACAGCUAAGGUCCCCAAGUGCAGGUUAAGUGGAAAAGGAUGUGACAAUGCAUAGACAACCAGGAUGUUGGCUCAGAAGCAGCCACGCAUUAAAAGAGUGCGUAAUAGCUCACUGGUCGAGUGAUGUUGCGCCGAAAAUUAACGGGGCUCAAACCUGCCACCGAAGCUUAGGAAUACGCGAUGCGUAUUGGUAGAGGAGCAAUGUAUAUGCGCAGAAGCCGUACCGGAAGGAGCGGUGGAGUAUAUAGAAGAGAGAAUGCCGGCAUAAGUAGCGAGAGCGGAGCGAGAAACUCCGCCGUCGAAAGUCUGAGGUUUUCCGGGGAAGGUUCGUCCGCCCGGAGUAAGUCGGGACCUAAGCGGAGGCCGAAAGGCGUACGUGAUGGACAGCGGGUUGAUAUUCCCGCACUACCGAGAGAGUAAAUGAAGCAGUGACACGGAAAGAUAGAAGAAGCGCGCAGAUGGAAAAGCGCGUCCAAGCAGUGAGGGAGGCUUGUAGUAAAGUACGCAAGUCAUAAUCCUGGGCUGUGACGGGGAGUGGACCAAGGAAACGAAGUCUUCGAAUCUACGCCGGCGAGAAAAGCUGCUAAAUAUUUCGAGGUACCCGUACCGCAAACCGACACAGGUAGACGAGAAGAAAAUUCUAAGACGAACGGGAGAACCCUUGUUAAGGAACUCGGCAAAAUGACCCCGUAACUUCGGGAGAAGGGGAGCCAUGGAGACAUGGCCGCAGUAAAGAGGCCCAAGCGACUGUUUAUCAAAAACACAGGUUUCUGCUAAGGCGUAAGCCAAGGUAUAGGAGCUGACUCCUGCCCAGUGCCGGAAGGUCAAGGGGAUCCGUCAACGCAAGUGAAGCGGUGAACUUAAGCCCCGGUGAACGGCGGCCGUAACUAUAACGGUCCUAAGGUAGCGAAAUUCCUUGUCGGGUAAGUUCCGACCCGCACGAAUGGAGUAACGAUUUGGGCACUGUCUCAACAGGGGGCCCGGCGAAAUUGUAGUAUACGUGAAGAUGCGUAUUAACCCGCGACUGGACGGAAAGACCCCGUAGAGCUUUACUGUAACUUGAUAUUGAAUCUCGGCAAUUGAUGCACAGAAUAGGUGGGAGGCUAAGAAGCAGACGUUUCGGCGUCUGUGGAGCCAACUUUGGGAUACCACUCUUCGAUUGCUGCGAUUCUAACCGAUACCGUUGAAGCACGGAUCGGGACAUUGUCAGGUGGGCAGUUUGACUGGGGCGGUCGCCUCC
rnacentral:rRNA from 1 species